rnacentral:rRNA from 1 species
GUAGUCCUGGCUGUAAACGAUGUCGACUUGGAGGUUGUGCCCUUGAGGCGUGGCUUCCGGAGCUAACGCGUUAAGUCGACCGCCUGGGGAGUACGGCCGCAAGGUUAAAACUCAAAUGAAUUGACGGGGGCCCGCACAAGCGGUGGAGCAUGUGGUUUAAUUCGAUGCAACGCGAAGAACCUUACCUGGUCUUGACAUCCACGGAAGUUUUCAGAGAUGAGAAUGUGCCUUCGGGAACCGUGAGACAGGUGCUGCAUGGCUGUCGUCAGCUCGUGUUGUGAAAUGUUGGGUUAAGUCCCGCAACGAGCGCAACCCUUAUCCUUUGUUGCCAGCGGUCCGGCCGGGAACUCAAAGGAGACUGCCAGUGAUAAACUGGAGGAAGGUGGGGAUGACGUCAAGUCAUCAUGGCCCUUACGACCAGGGCUACACACGUGCUACAAUGGCGCAUACAAAGAGAAGCGACCUCACGAGAGCAAGCGGACCUCAUAAAGUGCGUCGUAGUCCGGAUUGGAGUCUGCAACUCGACUCCAUGAAGUCGGAAUCGCUAGUAAUCGUGGAUCAGAAUGCCACGGUGAAUACGUUCCCGGGCCUUGUACACACCGCCCGUCACACCAUGGGAGUGGGUUGCAAAAGAAGUAGGUAGCUUAACCCUCGGGAGGGCGCUUACCACUUUGUGAUUCAUGACUGGGGUGAAGUCGUAACAAGGUAACCGUAGGGGAACCUGCGGCUGGAUCACCUCC